AUGGCGGUGGGGAACGAGUGGAUCAACGGGUACCUGGAGGCGAUCCUCGACGCCGGGUCCAAGCUGCGGGUGCAAGGGGUGUCGCUGCCGCCGCUGGAGCCGGCGCCGGCGCUCGCGUCGGAGGAGUCCAGCGCCGCCUACAACCCCACCAGGUACUUCGUGGAGGAGGUCGUCCGGAGCUUCGACGACCAGGCCCUCCACAAGACAUGGACAAAGGUGGUGGCGAUGCGGAACAGCCAGGAGCGGAACAACCGGCUGGAGAACCUGUGCUGGAGGAUCUGGAACGUCGCCAGGCAGAAGAAGCAGGUGGAGAGAGAUUACUCGCAGGAGGUGGCUCGGCGGAAGCUGGAGCAAGAGCUGGGCAGCUUGGAGGCCGCCGAGGACCUCGCCGAGCUCUCGGAGGGCGAGAAGGAGACCGUCCCCAAGCCCGACGGCACCGCCGCGCACCUGUCCGCCGACGAGCAGCAGCCGCAGCAGCGCACCCGGUUGGCGAGGAUCAACUCCGAGGUGCAGCUCGUCUCUGACGACGAGGACGAGCAGAGCAAGAACAGAAACCUCUACAUCGUCCUCAUCAGCAUCCAUGGGCUCGUGCGUGGGGAGAACAUGGAGCUCGGGCGAGACUCCGACACCGGCGGCCAGGUGAAGUACGUGGUGGAGCUGGCCCGGGCGCUGGCGGCGACGGCGGGGGUGCACCGCGUGGAUCUCCUGACGCGGCAGAUCUCCUGCCCCGACGUCGACUGGACCUACGGCGAGCCGGUGGAGAUGCUCGAGCGCCUGUCCUCGGGCGGCGCCGACGACGACGACGGCGACGAGUCCGGCGGAGCCGGGGCGUACAUCGUGCGGCUGCCCUGCGGGCCACGCGACCAGUACAUUCCCAAGGAGGAGCUGUGGCCGCACAUCCCCGAGUUCGUGGACCGCGCGCUCUCGCACGUCACCAACGUGGCGCGUGCGCUGGGCGAGCAGCUCCAGCCGCCGCCCAGCGACGCCCCGGCGACGGCGCUGGCGGCGCCGGUGUGGCCGUACGUGAUCCACGGGCACUACGCGGACGCGGCGGAGGUGGCGGCGAACCUCGCGAGCGCGCUCAACGUGCCCAUGGUGAUGACGGGCCACUCGCUGGGGCGGAACAAGCUGGAGCAGCUGCUCAAGCUGGGCCGCAUGCACGGGCCCGAGAUCCAGGGCACGUACAAGAUCGCGCGGCGGAUCGAGGCGGAGGAGACCGGGCUGGACACGGCGGAGAUGGUGGUCACCAGCACCAAGCAGGAGAUCGAGGAGCAGUGGGGCCUCUACGACGGCUUCGACCUCAUGGUGGAGCGCAAGCUCCGCGUCCGCCAGCGCCGCGGCGUCAGCAGCCUCGGCCGCUACAUGCCGCGCAUGGCCGUCAUCCCGCCCGGCAUGGACUUCAGCUUCGUCGACACCCAGGACACCGCCGACGGGGACGGCGCCGACCUCCAGAUGCUCAUCGACCCCGUCAAGGCCAACAAGGCUCUGCCCCCCAUUUGGUCAGAGGUGCUGAGGUUCUUCACCAACCCGCACAAGCCGAUGAUCUUGGCGCUGUCGCGGCCGGACCCCAAGAAGAAUGUCACCACGCUGCUCAAGGCGUACGGCGAGAGCCGGAAGCUCCGGGAGCUCGCCAACCUGACGCUGAUACUGGGGAACAGAGACGACAUCGACGACAUGGCCGGCGGUGGCGGCACGGUGCUGACGGCGGUGCUGAAGCUCAUCGACCGCUACGACCUCUACGGCCAGGUGGCUUAUCCCAAGCACCACAAGCAGACGGACGUGCCUCACAUCUACCGCCUCGCCGCCAAGACCAAGGGAGUGUUCAUCAACCCGGCUCUUGUAGAGCCGUUCGGCCUCACAAUCAUCGAGGCCGCCGCUUAUGGUCUGCCCGUGGUGGCAACCAAGAACGGCGGGCCGGUGGACAUCCUCAAGGCGCUUCACAACGGCCUGCUGGUGGACCCGCACUCCGCCGAGGCCAUCACCGGCGCGCUGCUCAGCCUGCUCGCCGACAAGGGGCAGUGGCUGGAGAGCCGCCGCAACGGCCUGCGCAACAUCCACCGCUUCUCCUGGCCGCACCACUGCCGCCUCUACCUCUCCCACGUCGCCGCCUACUGCGACCACCCGUCGCCGCACCAGCGCCUCCGCGUCCCUGGCGUCCCGGCCGCCUCGCCGAGCAUGGGCGGCGGCGACUCCCUCUCGGACUCGCUCCGCGGCCUCUCGCUCCAGAUCUCCGUGGACGCCUCCAGCGACCUCAAUGCCGGGGACUCCGCCGCGCUGAUCAUGGACGCCCUACGCCGCCGCCCGGCGGCCGACCGGCGCGAGGGCUCCGGCAGGGCGUUGGGCUUCGCGCCCGGCAGGAGGCAGAGCCUCCUCGUCGUCGCCGUCGACUGCUACGGCGACGACGGCAAGCCCGACGUCGAGCAGCUCAAGAAAGCCAUCGACGCGGCGAUGUCGGCCGGUGACGGCGCGGGCGGGCGGCAGGGGUACGUGCUCUCGACCGGCAUGACCAUCCCCGAGGCCGCGGAGACGCUCAAGGCCUGCGGCGCCGACCCGGCCGGCUUCGACGCGCUGAUUUGCAGCAGCGGCGCGGAGAUAUGCUACCCGUGGAAGGAGCUCACGGCCGACGAGGAGUACUCGGGCCACGUGGCGUUCCGGUGGCCCGGCGACCACGUGAAAACCGUCGUGCCGAGGCUCGGGAAGGCCGAGGACGCGCAGGCGUCCGACCUCGCCGUCGACGUGUCCGCCGGCUCCCUGCACUGCCACGCCUACGCCGCCACCGACGCGUCCAAGGUGAAGAAGGUGGAUUCGAUCAGGCAGGCGCUGCGGAUGCGCGGGUUCCGGUGCAACCUCGUCUACACGCGCGCCUGCACGCGCCUCAACGUCAUCCCUCUCUCCGCUUCCCGCCCAAGCGCCUUGAGGUACCUGUCGAUACAGUGGGGCAUCGACCUCGCCAAGGUGGCGGUGCUCGUCGGCGAGACCGGGGACACCGACCGCGAGAAGCUCCUCCCGGGGCUGCACAGGACGCUGAUCCUGCCGGGGAUGGUCUCGCGCGGCAGCGAGCAGCUCGUCCGCGGCGAGGACGGGUACGCCACGCAGGACGUCGUGGCCAUGGACUCCCCCAACAUCGUCACGCUCGCUGAAGGCCAGGCCGUCUCCGACCUUCUCAAGUCCAUGUGA
rnacentral:rRNA from 1 species